GAGGUUUAGCUCAGUUGGGAGAGCAUCUGCCUUACAAGCAGAGGGUCGGGGGUUCGAGUCCCUCAACCUCC
rnacentral:tRNA from 1 species